rnacentral:rRNA from 1 species
GUGGGGAAUAUUGGACAAUGGGCGCAAGCCUGAUCCAGCCAUGCCGCGUGAGUGAUGAAGGCCUUAGGGUUGUAAAGCUCUUUCACCGGUGAAGAUAAUGACGGUAACCGGAGAAGAAGCCCCGGCUAACUUCGUGCCAGCAGCCGCGGUAAUACGAAGGGGGCUAGCGUUGUUCGGAAUUACUGGGCGUAAAGCGCACGUAGGCGGACUUUUAAGUCAGGUGUGAAAUCCCGGGGCUCAACCUCGGAACUGCAUUUGAAACUGGAAGUCUUGAGAUCAGGAGAGGUUAGCGGAAUACCGAGUGUAGAGGUGAAAUUCGUAGAUAUUCGGAGGAACACCAGUGGCGAAGGCGGCUUACUGGUCCAUUACUGACGCUGAGGUGCGAAAGCGUGGGGAGCAAACAGGAUUAGAAACCCCAGUAGUCC